AUGAGUUAGGGUCUUCUCAGGCCCGAUCUCCCAACCCUAUGUCUACUUUACCACUUGUUGCUUUGGCGGGCCCGUCCGCAAGGACCGCCGGGGGACCCUUAAAGGUUCUCUGGCCCGCGCCUGCCGAUAGCCCUAUCAAAAACUCUUGAACAAAACGUGUCAUUGUCUGAGUAUACCUAUUGAAAUAAAAGCAA
rnacentral:misc_RNA from 1 species